AGCGAACGCUGGCGGCAGGCUUAACACAUGCAAGUCGAACGGGCAUCUUCGGAUGUCAGUGGCAGACGGGUGGGUAACACGUGGGAACGUACCCUUCGGUUCGGAAUAACUCAGGGAAACUUGAGCUAAUACCGGAUACGCCCUUCUGGGGAAAGGUUUACUGCCGAAGGAUCGGCCCGCGUCUGAUUAGCUUGUUGGUGGGGUAACGGCCUACCAAGGCGACGAUCAGUAGCUGGUCUGAGAGGAUGAUCAGCCACACUGGGACUGAGACACGGCCCAGACUCCUACGGGAGGCAGCAGUGGGGAAUAUUGGACAAUGGGCGCAAGCCUGAUCCAGCCAUGCCGCGUGAGUGAUGAAGGCCUUAGGGUUGUAAAGCUCUUUUGUCCGGGACGAUAAUGACGGUACCGGAAGAAUAAGCCCCGGCUAACUUCGUG
rnacentral:rRNA from 1 species